CCUACGGGGGGCAGCAGUGGGGAAUAUUGCACAAUGGGGGAAACCCUGAUGCAGCGACGCCGCGUGAGUGAAGCCGUCCUUCGUUCUGUCCCGCUCUCUCCGCCGGGACGCCACUGACGGUACCUGAGUAAGAAGCCCCGGCUAACUACGUGCCAGCAGCCGCGGUAAUACGGAGGGGGCAAGCGUUAUCCGGAUUUACUGGGUGUAAAGGGAGCGUGGACGGCAGUGCAAGUCUGGCGUGAAAGGCGGGGGCUCAACCCCCGGACUGCUCUGGAAACUGUACGGCUGGAGUGCAGGAGAGGUAA
rnacentral:rRNA from 1 species